rnacentral:rRNA from 1 species
CCUACGGGAGGCAGCAGUGGGGGAUAUUGCACAAUGGGGGAAACCCUGAUGCAGCGACGCCGCGUGGGUGAAGAAGCGCCUCGGCGCGUAAAGCCCUGUCAGCAGGGAAGAAAAUGACGGUACCUGAAGAAGAAGCCCCGGCUAACUACGGGACAGCAGCCGCGGUAAUACGUAGGGGGCAAGCGUUAUCCGGAUUUACGGGGUGUAAAGGGGGCGCAGACGGCGAUGCAAGCCAGGAGUGAAAGCCCGGGGCCCAACCCCGGGACUGCUCUUGGAACUGCGUGGCUAGAGUGCAGGAGGGGCAGGCGGAAUGCCUGGUGUAGCGGUGAAAUGCGUAGAUAUCGGGAGUAACACCGGUGGCGAAGGCGGCCUGCUGGACUGCAACUGACGUUGAGGCCCGAAAGCGUGGGGAGCAAACAGGAUUAGAUACCCUUGUAGUC